rnacentral:rRNA from 1 species
UACGUGGGGGUGCGAGCGUAUCCGGAUUUANUGGGCGUAAAGGUCGUCNCGGUNGUAAGUGCUGUUNAGCNCAGGCCCCAACUCUGGAUCAGCAAGCAAAACUGCCUAACUCGAGUCUGUGAAAGGAAACUGGAAUUCUCGGUGGAGGGGUGAAAUCCGUAGAUAUCGAGAGGAACGCCAAGCGCGAAGGCAGGUUUCUAGCACAGUACUGACGCUCAGGGACGAAAGCUAGGGUAGCAAAAGGGAUUAGAGACCCCUGUAGUCCUAGCCGUAAACGUUGGAUGCUAGUUGGCUGAUUCUCAGUCAUCAUAACUCUACUGUAGGUUACUAUAGUAGCUUGUUGUGGCGAAUGAGAAUUGGCUGACGUAAGCUAACGCGUUAAGCAUCCCGCCUGGGAAGUACGGCCGCAAGGCUAAAACUCAAAGGAAUUGACGGGGGAGCGCACAACCGGUGGAGCAUGUGGUUUAAUUCGAUACAAAGCGAAAAACCUUACCUGGGUUUGACAUGUACCUGCACGUUCUUGGAAACAAGAAUUUCUUCGAGAGUGGUACACAGGUGAUGCAUGGCUGUCGUCAGCUCGUGUCGUGAGACGUCCUCUUAAGUGAGGUAACGAGCGCAACCCUUGCCGUAUGUUAUACGUGUCAUACGGGACUGCCCUUACAGACUAAGGGAGGAAGGAGAGGACGACGUCAAGUCAGCAUGUCCCUUACAUCCAGGGCUACACACAUCCUACAAUGGAGCCGACAAUGGGUAGCGAUUACGCAAGUAUGAGCCAAUCCCGCAAACGGCCCCUCAGUUCGGACUGUGGGCUGAAAUUCGCCCACACGAAGUCGGAAUCGGUAGUAAUCGCAAAUCAGAAGGUUGCGGUGAAUACGUUCUCGCUCCUUGUACACACUGCCCGUCAAGCCAGCAAAGUCAGCAGCACCCGAAGCGGGUGACCUCAACCCUCACGGGAGAGGCCCUUCUACGGUGAGGUUGGCGAUGAGGACUAAGUCGUAACAAGGUAGCCGUA